rnacentral:rRNA from 1 species
UACGUAGGGGCGAGCGUUGUCCGGAUUUACUGGGCGUAAAACGCUUGUAGGCGGCCACGCCAAGUCGGAUGUGAAAUCUCCCGGCUUAACUGGGAGGGGUCAUGCGAUACUGGCGGGCUCGAGGCAGGUAGGGGAAGCGGAAUUCCCGGUGUAGUGGUGGAAUGCGCAGAUAUCAGGAGGAACACCGAUGGCGAAGGCAGGUCUCUGGGCCAUAACUGACGCUGACGAAGCGAAAGCAUGGGGAGC